rnacentral:rRNA from 1 species
GCCAUAUCAAUAAGCGGAGGAAAAGAAACCAACAGGGAUUGCCUUAGUAACGGCGAGUGAAGCGGCAAAAGCUCAAAUUUGAAAUCUGGCACCUUCGGUGUCCGAGUUGUAAUUUGAAGAAGGUAACUUUGGAGUUGGCUCUUGUCUAUGUUCCUUGGAACAGGACGUCACAGAGGGUGAGAAUCCCGUGCGAUGAGAUGCCCAAUUCUAUGUAAAGUGCUUUCGAAGAGUCGAGUUGUUUGGGAAUAA